rnacentral:rRNA from 1 species
GUCCUUUAAGUCUGAUGUGAAAGCCCACGGCUCAACCGUGAGGGUCAUUGGAAACUGGGGGACUUGAGUGCAGAAGAGGAAAGUGGAAUUCCACGUGUAGCGGUGAAAUGCGUAGAGAUGUGGAGGAACACCAGUGGCGAAGGCGACGUUUCUGGUCUGUAACUGACGCUGAGGCGCGAAAGCGUGGGGAGCAAACAGGAUUAGAUACCCUGGUAGUCCACGCCGUAAACGAUGAGUGCUAAGUGUUAGGGGGUUUCCGCCCCUUAGUGCUGCAGCUAACGCAUUAAGCACUCCGCCUGGGGAGUACGGCCGCAAGGCUGAAACUCAAAGGAAUUGACGGGUGGUCGACGCGGCCG